rnacentral:rRNA from 1 species
AACGAACGCUGGCGGCAGGCUUAACACAUGCAAGUCGAACGCCCCGCCAGGGGAGUGGCAGACGGGUGAGUAACGCGUGGGAAUCUACCCAGAUCUUCGGAACAACUGAGGGAAACUUCAGCUAAUACCGGAUACGCCCUACGGGGGAAAGAUUUAUCGGUUCUGGAUGAGCCCGCGUUGGAUUAGCUAGUUGGUGGGGUAAUGGCCUACCAAGGCGACGAUCCAUAGCUGGUCUGAGAGGAUGAUCAGCCACACUGGGACUGAGACACGGCCCAGACUCCUACGGGAGGCAGCAGUGGGGAAUAUUGGACAAUGGGCGAAAGCCUGAUCCAGCCAUGCCGCGUGAGUGAUGAAGGCCUUAGGGUUGUAAAGCUCUUUCAGUAGGGAAGAUAAUGACGGUACCUACAGAAGAAGCCCCGGCUAACUUCGUGCCAGCCGCCGCGGUAACAC